GAGAAGGGAGGGGACGGAGGAGGCGUUUUUGGAGCGGGUCGCCGGGUUUGCUGUAGUGGAUACUAUGGUAUACCAUGUACCCUGCUCUCUUCUUCCCAGGAAGAUCAGCUAUGAUUCCAGAUGUCAGGCCCCGGCUGGAGGCGCUUCGCCGCAUCCUGCCGAGAGAUCAGCGCUUCUCUGGUCUUCCUCGGCCCCCAGAAAGUCGCUCGGGGUUCAGCCCGUCACCGGAUGAAACCAGAGUGUCAACUGCAUAAUGACGCCUAGCACUUUAUAUAGCCCCUUUCAUCUUCAG